UGUCCAGUCAUAUCCGCUGUCAUGUGUCUGGUCAAUUCUCCAUCUCCAGUCACUGUGAGACUCAAUCUCACACUUCAGAGUGACUGUCUCUCCAGUGAAUACAGGUCUGUCUGGUGUCACAGUCAGUGUAGAUCUGGGUGAAUCUGUGAACAGAAGAAAACAGACUCUGAACUGAAUAUCUGACUUAAUGUAGCUGAUAGUGAUGUAAUUAUGAUUGAAAAUAGAUAUGUUAUGAUAAAAGUUGAAAUAAAUGUAAAAUGUUUUAUUCAUUUAUUUGUUUUGUCAAUUGGAUUUUCAAAUGAGAAAGUUAUUAAAACAUUAUUGAACAGUUCUUGUUCUGGUCGGUAGGUGGGACUGUUUUCAGGCAGAGGUUUCAAAAAGCAUCUACAUUUAUAUUUAAUUAUUCAGCAGAAGUUUCUGUCCAAAGCCACUUACAAAUGAGAACAAUAGAAGCAAUCAAACCAACAAAAGAGCAUCAAUGUAAGAGAUGUGACGAGUCCUGGUUAGUCUACAAAGACAAGUCUAACUAGAAAACAAGUAGACAGUAUAGAAAAAAAAAGUUUUAUUAAAGUUCUUUUUAUUUUAUUUUUUGUUUUUUAAGAGCUCACGAGGCAAUAAUACUCAAUAAUACUGUAUUACUGGAAAACUUGUAAGUGUCUGUUGUCAGCCUCCUACAAUGAAAAGCAUGAAUGAAUAACAGGUUGGUGUGAAAGAUCUCAACCCUUAUGUUUGUUUGGGGCCAGAGACCCCUUACAUGGGAGAAUAUAAGACUCCUUCAUAUUUAUAGCAGCGUUAAAGUACAUACUUAGUGCUCUUAGAUGCUGGAACUUCCGUUUAAUUACAUUUUUUUUCUGGAUUAUUAUUUGUUCUUCUCUUCUGUUUUAAUGUUUUUACUGUAGUAAUCAAAAGCAUGUUUAACUAUUGAAAUCAUAAAAUUUACAACAUAACUCAAUUUAUUAAUAAUAUAAAUAUAAAUAUAUGAUAAUUAUGAUAUAUAUUUGUAACAGUGGUAAUUAUGACUAUGGGUCACGAGGUCUACGAUGUACUCUAAAAAACGUUGGGUUAUUUACUGUACCCAAUAUCUGGGUUAAACAUGUUGGGUCGCUUUGUUGGGUUAUUCCUAUGUUUAUUGGGUUAUUUCAACAACAACGCAACCAGUUGGGUUAAAAUUUAAAUUCCAACGGUCGAUUGGUGCAGCUGCGACAGAUGAUACAGUGGUAAAUUAAUAUGUGUGUGUAAUGUUUUUCGUUACAAAGUGUCUUCAUGCCCUGACACAAUAAUAUUUCUGUUUUUCCUACGAGUAUGUUUACUCCCCUGUCGACUGAAACUUUAAUCCGUUUUUUCUGCACUCUUGACUAACGACACGAGCGCUUGUAGCAGAUCGAUUUCAAACGUAUAAAAACCGGUUUCCUUACAUUUUCUGUUAGUCUCGACAAUUUUGGGGGUUUUUUUUUUUUACAUACAUUUCAGAUAUUAGGCAGAAGCGCUCACCUUGAAGACCAGCGGAGCCUCUUUCGUGGUGUCGCGUCCACUCUGAGUGAAGAGGGCGCUGCGAGCUACACUGAUUACACGCGCCGCUUCUUCAGCCACGAAGAACUGAACAUGGAAGAGAGUGGUGCAUUGUUAUCAUCAAUUAUCAAAAGAUACCGUUAUCGGUUUCAAGAUUACUCUGGACUAAGGUAUAUUAUACCCACAUGUCAGGGAUAGAUAGACUUUGAGCUCUAAAGGGCAUGGAGAGAUGAAGAGAGCUAUGGUUGGAUCUUCCGGAUAUUUCUUCUGUUGGUCUUGGAGAUUGCAUUAAAGUUGCAGUAAAACCCUGCCAGAUAUCCUCCUUCAUUGCCAUACAAAGUGGGUUGGAACAAAUUUCAUUCUGUAUUUGGAGGAGGAGGAGCAACCAAGGCAAUUCCCUCAUAAUCAAGCCUUCAUUAUUGUGGGAGAAAUGGCACUGAAGAAAGGCCGUCUUUUUUACAAGCAGUUGAUACAUGCUUUAAAUUAUUUUACAUUUUGAACAUUGAGUAUCCCAAACCUGUUGCAGCUGUAAUUGCAUUGUCUGUACUAGCUUUGUUCUGUUUGUUUGUUUGUUUGUGAAUUUAUAUUUAUCUUGUAAACUGAAACAAUUGCAUAUAACCUAAUGUGAUAAGGAAAUAAUUAAUAACACAAUUUCAACCAGUCAUUUAAUUUAAUAGAAGUAUUUGCAACUUUUAAUGUAAUGGAAAUAAAGCAUUUUCCAUAUAUUUGUAUGCUGUACAUUAUUAUUUAUUUACAUAGCAAUAAUAAGAAUAAUGAUGAUGAUGAUAAUAAUAAUAAUAAUAAUAAUACCAGGAUGGUUAAAGCAUUUUAAAACAUUUUGGCCAAAUAACCCAACAAAUUAGUUAUUUUAUAACCCAAUGCAUUGGGUAAAACUUAUUACCCAAUCCAUUGGGUUAAAAUAACCCAACAUUAGGUAGGUGCUAUAGUAACCCACCAUUGGGUUAUCUGUUGGGUCAUUUUUAACCCAACUAUUUUUAGUGAGUAGGAUGUUCUGGUGUCUCCCACAGCCCACAUUUAUUUUAUUUUCUGUAAUAUCAAUUACACACACACACACACACACACAUAUACACCAGCUGUGCAGUUUUGGUAUGUUUUUUUUUAUUUUAUUUUGUAUUUAAUUUUGCAUAAAUAUAUUUUUAAAUAUGUUUAUUUAUUUAUUUAUUUUUAUUUUUUGAUGUACAUUCUAACUUUCAUUCAUGGAGAUAACAUGGACAGUGAGCCUAUGCUGGUUUAGUGGUAGACUGCUGCCAUAAAAUAAAAUAACAUGAAAUUUCAACUAUAGCCACUAGAUGGCUCAUUUAGCUUUAUGUUGAGACACAGGGGCGGUUCUAGACCCUUUUUAGGUGGGCUUCAGCCCCCCUAUUUGUCGUCUCAGCCCCCCUAAAACUAUAAUCAGUCCAGUGCUGCUUCCUCAAGAAAGUGUAUCAUUCUCGCUCGUGUUAUCGAUCUCAAUGUGGUACUCACGCGCUGUGAUAGAUGGUUAAUGUGCACGCACACAUUUGAAUGAAGCACGCACGCACUGAGAGGUGCUUAUGAUACGCUUCCACACACCCCUAAACCUAACCACUGCGUCUCAUAUGCAUGCCAAAGUCAGUUUUUGCAUAUAAAUAGCACACCAAAUAGAAACAGAAAAUCGUGUCACUGAAACGCACUUUCAUGAGAUCGGGUCAUUCACUUCCAUUAAUUCAAUAAUGUUAAUCAAACAACAAAAGAAAAACAUGAUAAGCACUCACUAAGUAACUUCUGUAACUUUAAUAGGUAAUUGUGUCUAAUUACUUUAUACAGUAAUACAGUUUUCAUAAGCACAGUAAAAUACUGUUUAUUUAGGUAAUUUGUAUCAUUGUAGCCUAUCUAAUGGUCUCUCUGAGGGC